rnacentral:rRNA from 1 species
AUCCCCUACGGGAGGCAGCAGUGAGGAAUAUUGGUCAAUGGGAGAGAUCCCGAACCAGCCAAGCCGCGUGAGGGAAGACGGCCCUAUGGGUUGUAAACCUCUUUUGUCGGAGAACAAAACCCGGGACGUGUCCCGGACUGCGUGUAUCCGAAGAAAAAGCAUCGGCUAACUCCGUGCCAGCAGCCGCGGUAAUACGGAGGAUGCGAGCGUUAUCCGGAUUUAUUGGGUUUAAAGGGAGCGUAGGUGGACAGUUAAGUCAGUUGUGAAAGUUUGCGGCUCAACCGUAAGAUUGCAGUUGAUACUGG